GGGGCGGUUCGAUGGUGUCGACGGUACGGACUCGAGACCCGUGCCGCCGUGGGUUCAAUUCCCACCCGCUCCA
rnacentral:tRNA from 1 species